GGGACUAUAGUCCAGCGGUUAGAACACUUGGUUGCACAAGCCCAAGAGGGGAAGGACCUGGGUUCGAAUCCCACGUAUAACCU